GUUUGGACAGAAAAAUAGACAUCUACCUCUGGGUGAAAAACAUGGAUACACUCUUUUUGUCUUACUUGAGAACCAGUCCCCAUGGACAGAGUAUUGAGAAUUACAGGUGUGUAGGUAGACAGGAGAAGGAAGAAGAAAGAUGGGUAGUUGGAAGUCAGAGCAUUUGAGAUGAAUGGCAUUGGUAUUUUGUCAGUAAUCUGAGAGGCUGACUCUCCAGACUUAUGUUAAUAAACUUAGUCCAGGACAUUUUCAUCAGAAAAUCCUAGCUACUCCAUAAUUCAGUGCACAUUCAUGUGUAACGUAGGCUGACUUUUAAGAAAUGUUGUUGGGAUCUUCUCUCUAAUGGAGUCAAGAAUUAAGUUUAGUUCAACAAAAUUUAGUUCAACAUGUCCUAUAUUCUACGUGUCCAGAGUUGAGUAAGAUAUGGGACCCUAGUUUUUAAGAAAUUCUCUAUAGUGGCACUUGGAACUGAUGGAGAAUUUCUAUUUAAUAUGAAAAUUUUCCUGAGAUACAUCAACAGGGUACUUGGAGACUAAGGUUGAAGGAAGCAACUCAGGGUGAAGGAACUUUUAG
rnacentral:lncRNA from 1 species